UACGGAAGGUGCAAGCGUUGUUCGGAAUGACUGGGCGUAAAGCGCACGUAGGCGGCUUCGUAAGUCGGAUGUGAAAGCCCCGGGCUCAACCUGGGAACUGCAUCCGAAACUACAAAGCUUGAAUGCUUGAGAGGUUGGUGGAAUUCCAGGUGUAGGAGUGAAAUCCGUGAGAUAUCUGGAGGAACAUCGGAGGCGAAGGCGGCCAACUG
rnacentral:rRNA from 1 species